GACUCGAGGCCGGGAUACAACCGGCCUCGACCUUCCCUGUUUACUGCCGCUCUGUGAAACAAAUUCGUUCCAUUAACACUGUGUCUUGUAUUAUUGUGCGAUAAUUGACUUUAGCGGGAUUAAAUGGAGUAGAAAUGAUUGCCAAAAGUAAUAUUACUGUUUAAUUGCAGUAUAAAAGUGGAAUUGAAUGGCUCUUGGCUUAUAUUUUCUACGUUUUACAAAAAGUGUUUUGUUCUAUAAGAUUUGCUUUCAUGGAUGAAUAUCUGCACCAAGUGAAUUACGGACGAAGAUGAAAUUCUUUCUGAUUUUCGUGGUUGUGAUGGUGGCGCUGGUGAGUGCAGCUCCCCAGCUCGUCACCACCAAGAGGAGGUUCCCUGGAGAGCGUCGGCUGGGGGCCACCAACUACGGCUUUUAUUCUUACGGCAAACGCGGAUACCAACAUAUUUAUAGAUCCUACAAUAGAAGAAGCCUUGACAUAAAGCCAGACACAAGUGACGUCAGAAACACGAUGAUCGGGAGGCAGAAGAUCAACAAAAGAAUGAGCAGAAUGAGGGACACCGGCAACAGGUUUACGAACAGAAGAAAUGUCAGAAGGAGAAAUGUCAGAAGGUGCCAAAUCCAUCGUGGUCGCUCAAGGUGUUUGGGAUUACAGAGAUUCAAAUAAAUGAUUGGCAAGUCGUACUAGCGAUUGAUGUGCGUUCUGUGACCAGGAGCAAUCAGAGCUGAAUUGAUUAGUUCUUUGGAUGUCCAAAGAUUAUUGUUGGACAAUGUAAAAUCGGCUUUUAAAUUCAUCAGUGGGCUACUUUUUUGUUUUUCUCUAAAUUGAACAUGAUUUACUAAAAUGUACAUAAAAAUUUGGUUGCACUAUGACACUAUAUGGAACAUUGGUUUUAUACACUCAUUCACUCCAUUUGUUAUGAACAUUUAGAACAUCUACACAUUCUGUGAGGUCUGCAAGACACACGGGUAUUAAAUAUUAACCAACUAUCUUGUGAAAUAAUCCCAGUUUACUCAUACAUUAAGGUUCGAUAUAUUAGCACUGAGCAUGAUCGAGUGCUCUAACAUAAAUUAGACGCUUAAUGUGUCAUCAAUGCCAACAUAAAUUUAAAUUCGCCCGACUUUUUUCCGAGUGGAUCCUGGUAGAGAAUAUAUAUAGCUCAACUGCAGCCAUUACUGGAGUAGAGACUGGACACGGAGGAGAAAUGUACAAGAAAAUUUUAGCAAGUAUUCAUAAAAACUAUAAAUACAUAUAUAUAUUUAUGGAGAGAAUUUUGUCCUUAGAUAAAGUAGGUUUCUUCUGCACAAAAUAAAUAAUGCGAUUCUUUUACCAUCAUACUAUAAAGUUUCUGAAGUGUACACGACAUUGCUAAAACAAAGGAUCCAUCUAAAGCCGAUGAAACGAAUUUGCAACCAUUGAACACCAAUGCAUUACUACAGCCAAUUGAUCAGACUAAGUUUAGACACGUUUCUUCAAUCUAGAUAUUUAUAUCUGCACAUCGUAUACGGGCUUGAUAUGCAUAGAAAUCAAGGGAUAUUGCGCAUUUAGUUAAAACAAUUACUUACUUACCAUUGGCGGAAAUGAUGAAUAGCAUUAACGAAUAUUACAUUUAAAUAUUAGCCUACUAUUUUUUGAGCAAUGCAUUUAUAU